ensembl:lncRNA
UUUCCAAUUUCGAAUUUAACCCACUGUCCAAUAUCUAAUUCAAAGUUUUAAUAAUCAAAAAGUCUUUAAAAAAAGCUAAAAUGUUUCCUGCAUUUCUAAUUAUUUAUGCAUAUUUGUAUGUUAUGCAUUUACAAAAAAUGCUUUUGAUUUAUGCUUUGUGUCUGUGUCAUAUUUAUAUACUUAAAUUUUUAAAUUAGUGUUUUCUGGCUUUAUGUACUAGGGUCUAUGCUGAAAUUUCUCAGUGUACCUACAGCUGCAGAGACAUUUGAUGCUGCUACAUCUGGAAUUAUUCAUAGUACUCCUGGGCCAUCUACUGAUCCUAAGGUGAAACUUCAGUCUUCACUCCAACCGAGGAUUGCAUACUGGAUUGCACUACUUGCACUGACUGUGUCAUAUGAUGAGGGCCCCACAACCCUUCAAGCCGGCACUGGUCAUGAUGGUCAGACAGCAGGUGGAUUAUGAUGAUCGGAUGUUACCUGGAGCUGGCAGAAACUGGACAUAUCAAAGAAGCUAACACUGAAGAGACAUCUGAUGCUGCCGAGUCCAAAAUGGUGCAAAAAUGGAGAUGUAUGAAAAAUGGUGUAUGUUUGGUUCCACCUGAUAAAAGCACAUAAUAGCCAGAUUCGGAGGGUAAUUGGUUCUCAUGGUGACGUAAGCAAUUAUCAACAUUUACAGGGAUUAGUCUGUGAUUUUAUUGCCAUCUGAAUCCAGAAUGUUAUUGUUUUUCACCCACCAUCCUAAUAAAAAUCCCCAGCUGAAUUACCAAGGUCAUGUGGUAAUUUAAUUGCUGUCCAAAUCCACAUCUCUCUGAAUAAUUUGUUUCAAAAUUAACUGUUUAAAUCCAUUUUCACCACCAUUUAACACUAUAUACUAACUGUUGUACUUCGCAUGCAUAUUACUGAAAAAAAGAAUACUGAAAUGCUAGAAAGUAUUUACAAGAAUAAUAUUUCAUAACUGCUCCAUCACAUGCUCCCUUUAAGAAGAAAAAG